CUUGGCGGCCUUAGCGCGGUGGUCCCACCUGACCCCAUGCCGAACUCAGAAGUGAAACGCCGUAGCGCCGAUGGUAGUGUGGGGUCUCCCCAUGCGAGAGUAGGGAACUGCCAGGC
rnacentral:rRNA from 5 species